CGAACGGGUGAGUAACACGUAGGGAACCUGCCCGCGCACCGGGAAUACGCUCUGGAAACGGAGAACAAAUCCCGAUGUACAGGAAGGAGGCAUCUUCUUUCUGUGAAACAUCCUUUAGGGGAUGGGGCGCGGAUGGACCUGCGGUGCAUUAGUUUGUUGGCGGGGUAAAGGCCCACCAAGACGAUGAUGCAUAGCCGGCCUGAGAGGGCGGACGGCCACAUUGGGACUGAGACACGGCCCAGACUCCUACGGGAGGCAGCAG
rnacentral:rRNA from 1 species